AGAAGAGGAUUAGGGUUGUGACCUUCGACUUUCCUCAGAACAAUCGACGGCGGCGGAGGGUUCUAUGAUCGGAAUCGCCGCGAGCCUCCACCUCCACUUUCUUCUUCUCCGACGCUUCAGUCUCUCCUUACUCUCUCGUUCAAAUCGCCUCUCUCUUGUUCCAACCUUUCCCGGUCUCUCUCAAUCUCGAUUCUCCGUUUGUUUUAAGAUUUAUUGUUGUUGAAGAGUGAUGAUGUUUCAAGAUGAUGAUUCAAAGACGAUAAUGAACGUGCAGCGCGGUUUGUAAUAUGGUGCGAUUCUGGUUGAAGAUGAUGAACGAGAUGAUUGAAGAUUGGAGGUUCGUUGAUAUGACGAUGGCGAUCGAUGAUUGAUGCGAUGGAAUUGAAGGCCCUGCAGAAACCGAUGGAGAUUGAAGUCUUGUGGUGAGAAGGUUGAAGAACGAUGAAGAGAGAUUCAGAGAUGGUGGGAGAAUCAAAGUUGUUCGAAGAUUUUCGUGUUGAUGAUGGAAAUGAAGAAGAUUGAAGAUGGUGUUCUGAGAAUUGAAGAAUGGAGAGAGUAUUGGGAGUGAGAUAUGAAGAUGGAGCGUGAAAAAUGGUGAAAGAGAGAAGAGAUGAAGAUGAUGAUGAAUGAAGGUGGGAGAAAAUGGUGAAGAUGAAGAUUGAUGAUUAUGUGAGGGAUGGCUAAAGAAAAACGAAGGAAGGUCCAAUGAAUGAAGAGUGCUUCUCAUAUAUAGAGGUCUGAGAAUUUAAGGCAGCCAUGGUUCUCUUUACAUAGGCAUGGAAGAAGAAAUAUGAGAAAAUGACUCCUAAGCACACAUGGAAAUUACGGAUUGAAGUGAUCUUGAAAGAAGAUUAGUGGAGCUUAGCCCUCGAAGCAUAAGUUUAAAUUUCUUUUGUGAAUGUCUCAGUGUAAUGACUUAGAAUUUAUUUGUGUAAUUAUGGAUGAACUUUGAAUGUUGUAUAGAUCGAAUGAACUAGGACUUUGGUAAAGGGAUUUGAAAUGAAUGGAUAGACACUUGAAUGUGUACACUUUGUUUAUGAUUUUAGAGUUAUAGUGAAAUGCUCCUCUUUUGUAAUGACA